UAUUAUUAUUAUUAUUAUUUUGGUUUUUCGAGACAGGAUUUCUCUGUAUAGCCCUAGAUGUCCUGGAACUCACUCUGUGGAUCAGGCUGGCCUUGAACUCAGAAAUCCACCUGUCUCUGCCUUCCAAGUGCUGGGAUUAAAGGCAUGUGCCACUACUGCCCGGCUAGUAGAAUUUCUUGGGGGUUGCGGUUUGAUGUGUUUGUAGAUAUGCCACCCAGGAUCACAGUAGCCUCUUUCCUAGCUGCCUGCAGAUAUAGAGUGAAAGAAACCCAGUGUUCCUUAUUUUUCUGUGUCAUUACAUAAACUAUAAACCUCAUUGUUUAGAUGUAUUUAUUUGAGAUUUCUCCUACUUGUAAGCAAAUAUAUGAUAUAACUAAAUGUAUGUCAUUAUUAAGGCUAAGGAGGUGGCUCAGUGCUCAAGUGCAUAUACUGCUCCUGGAGAGGACCCAAGUUCAGUUUGCAGCACUCUCUUCCAGUGUCUCAUAACCAACUGUCACUUCCCAUUAUGGACUCUGGAAACCGGAAAUCAGAAUAAAAGAAGCUUCAGCUAUAUCUUAUAAGAAGAUUCUUACGACUGUUAUACUCCAAGAAGAGGAACAAAUGAGGGUGUCCUGCAAAUCUCUCCAUGGCUGAAGUUGACCAUAUUCCAUCUUCCAGGUACUAACAUUACAAUCAUCUAACAUGCCUGGUUUCAUACAGUGGUGGAAAUAAAUCCCAGGGCUUUUGAAUCUGGAAAAGUACUAUACCAACUGAUUGACACCAAGGCCAAUGGCCUUUAAUGGAUGAACAUAAGAUAUAAGUGCCCCACUAUGAUAGAUUUGUUAUAUUCAGGUUUGAUAUAUAUUGUGGUGUCAUUUAUAAAAUGGGCAAAAAUAUCUAGUUAAUAAAACAAAUUUUGGAAUGAUCAACUGGGAAUCAGCCCACAAGUGAAAUAGGACUGCAAGUUAGACAGAAUACUAAAUAUUUUCUAUGGUCUUUGAAAUUAUAUGGGGAAAAGUCUUUUGCAGAUGCGAUUAAAUAAAAUGUUAAUUAAUUGACCCAAAGAUAGAUUAUUCAGUGAGUUUACUGAAAUUAGUUCAGUCCCUCAAAAGAAAAGACCUUUGAUUUAAAAAGAAGCCAGAGAUUUCAGGUAUGAGAGGGAUUUUACCCAAACAAGACACUUCCCUUUUGAGAUGGCUAAAUAUAUGCAAGGAUCUGAGAGUGGGCACAGACCCUCUAUGUCCCUUGGAAGGUGGCUAGAGAGAAGGCAGGAAAAUUAAUCCCAUCUUCACAAGGAGCAAAGGUCUACUAACAAUCUAGAGACCACUGAAAGAGGACUCUUCCCUUAAAGUUUUUGGAUAAUAGGUUGCUAGCUGAUACCUGCAGCCUUGUUAUACUAAGGAGGGAAUCUAUGAACAUCAUUACACUGUGUUUGAUGAUCAGAACAAUGAGAUUAAACAUUGUAGGUUUAAGCCAUUAUAGCUGUCUCUUGUGAGAAUAGGCCGGGGCCUAGCAAACACAGAAGUGGAUGCUCACAGU
rnacentral:lncRNA from 1 species